UACGAAGGGGGCUAGCGUUGUUCGGAAUUACUGGGCGUAAAGGGCGCGUAGGCGGUACUUCAAGUCAGGCGUGAAAGCCCCGGGCUCAACCUGGGAACCGCGCUUGAGACUGGAGAACUAGAGUUCGGGAGAGGAUGGUGGAAUUCCCAGUGUAGAGGUGAAAUUCGUAGAUAUUGGGAAGAACACCGAUGGCGAAGGCAGCCAUCUGGACCGAUACUGACGCUGAGGCGCGAAAGCCAGGGGAGCAAACGGG
rnacentral:rRNA from 1 species